GUCUUUCCAACACGGGCUCAACCAUGGCUGGGGUAUCCGGGGCCCAAUUAUCAUCAAGUGCCCCUUUGUCUGCUCAUUAAUAUGAGGGGAUAAAUCUCAAAACUCCAAUUAUUACUGCGGAGCUCUAGGAGAGUUCUUGUCAAAACGUCUCCCCUUUGCCUUUACCCAUUUCAAACUUACACUUUUGAUUUCACUUACUGCUUUGUGCUCUCAUAUUGCUUCUGCUAUCUUGCCCUUUCUUUU
rnacentral:lncRNA from 1 species